ACAAGUUUAACCUUGCAAAUAUAAAAACUAUGAGCUUGAUGACACCCUCAUAAAAGUAAGUAUUAACAAAAACUAUUCCGAUAUAACAACAAUUGAGCCGAGUAUGGAAAUGAAUCUAGAUAAUAUGAAUAAUGAAGUCAGUCUAAUAGAUACGGUAGAAGUAAAAGGCGAGUUUAUUAUGGAACAACGUCACCGCCAGGAGCGGCGGCAACGUCAAUCAAAUCAUUGUUCUCUUUACGAGCGUCGAUUACACAAC
rnacentral:misc_RNA from 1 species